rnacentral:rRNA from 1 species
GACGAACGCUGGCGGCGUGCUUAACACAUGCAAGUCGAACGGAAAGGCCCUGCUUUUGUGGGGUGCUCGAGUGGCGAACGGGUGAGUAACACGUGAGUAACCUGCCCUUGACUUUGGGAUAACUUCAGGAAACUGGGGCUAAUACCGGAUAGGAGCUCCUGCUGCAUGGUGGGGGUUGGAAAGUUUCGGCGGUUGGGGAUGGACUCGCGGCUUAUCAGCUUGUUGGUGGGGUAGUGGCUUACCAAGGCUUUGACGGGUAGCCGGCCUGAGAGGGUGACCGGCCACCUUGGGACUGAGAUACGGCCCAGACUCCUACGGGAGGCAGCAGUGGGGAAUAUUGCACAAUGGGCGGACGCCUGAUGCAGCAACGCCGCGUGCGGGAUGACGGCCUUCGGGUUGUAAACCGCUUUCGCCUGUGACGAAGCGUGAGUGACGGUAAUGGGUAAAGAAGCACCGGCUAACUACGUG